GGGGCCAUAGCUCAGUUGGUAGAGCGCUUGAAUGGCAUUCAAGAGGUCAGGGGUUCGAUUCCCCUCGGCUCCACCA
rnacentral:tRNA from 1 species